AGAGUUUGAUCCUGGCUCAGAUUGAACGCUGGCGGCAUGCCUUACACAUGCAAGUCGAACGGCAGCGCGGUUGGGGUAACCCAACUGGCGGCGAGUGGCGAACGGGUGAGUAAUAUAUCGGAACGUACCUUGUAAUGGGGGAUAACUCGUUGAAAGAUGAGCUAAUACCGCAUACGCCCUGAGGGGGAAAGUGGGGGACCGCAAGGCCUCACGUUAUAAGAGCGGCCGAUAUCUGAUUAGCUAGUUGGUGAGGUAAAGGCUUACCAAGGCGAUGAUCAGUAGCUGGUCUGAGAGGACGACCAGCCACACUGGAACUGAGAGACGGUCCAGACUCCUACGGGAGGCAGCAGUGGGGAAUUUUGGACAAUGGGGGCAACCCUGAUCCAGCAAUGCCGCGUGAGUGAAGAAGGCCUUCGGGUUGUAAAGCUCUUUUGUUGGGGAAGAAACGGUGAUGGAUAAUACCCAUUAUUAAUGACGGUACCCAAAGAAUAAGCACCGGCUAACUACGUGCCAGCAGCCGCGGUAAUACGUAGGGUGCGAGCGUUAAUCGGAAUUACUGGGCGUAAAGGGUGCGCAGGCGGUUUUAUAAGUCAGCGGUGAAAUACCUGGGCUUAACCUAGGAAUGGCCGUUGAGACUGUAGGGCUAGAGUGUGUCAGAGGGGGGUAGAAUUCCACGUGUAGCAGUGAAAUGCGUAGAGAUGUGGAGGAAUACCGAUGGCGAAGGCAGCCCCCUGGGAUAACACUGACGCUCAUGCACGAAAGCGUGGGGAGCAAACAGGAUUAGAUACCCUAGUAGUCC
rnacentral:rRNA from 1 species